rnacentral:misc_RNA from 1 species
CACAAACACGCUCGCAUUUAGUCCGCUCUUUUCCAUGCCGUCUCCACCCUCCAAAAUGUCUCUAUAAAUACUUAUCGUAUGGCCACGGCCACCGCAUGACCACCAGCGCCACCCGUUUUUUAAGAGCCCCACCCUGUUUCUUUUACUUUUGACUGUCAAAAAGUUAAAAGCAUCAGUACCAAACAGAACAUCCCUCCUGAUUCCCAACCUCUUCCUUUCUCUCUCUCUAAAAUCUUUCUCAUGAAAGUAGACCGCAAAACCACCGCCAACUCUGAAGAUGAGACAGAGAUGUGCAAGACCAUCGAAGUGGCCCUAGUUGACCACCGCGAUCUCUCGCCACCGUCUUCAGCUUUCUUAUCUUCUCCGGUCGUCGGAGAUGACCUUACCUUUAUUCCUCCGUUAAACUUCGCCAUGGUUGAUAAUGGCAUCUUCAGGUCCGGCUUUCCCGACUCUGCUAACUUCUCCUUCCUUCAGACGCUUGGACUUCGCUCCAUCAUAUGUAUGUGCCCUGAGCCGUAUCCGGAGCAAAACGCUGAUUUUCUUAAGGCCAAUGGGAUUAGGCUUUUCCAGUUCGGGAUCGAAGGUUAUAAGGAGCCUUUUGUAAACAUUCCAGAGGAUACAAUUCGUGAAGCACUAAAAGUUGUCCUUGAUGUGAGGAAUCACCCAGUUUUGAUACAUUGUAAACGAGGGAAGCAUCGAACUGGUUGUGUUGUGGGUUGCUUGAGAAAAUUGCAAAGAUGGUGCCUAUCAUCCAUUUUCGAUGAGUACCAGAGGUUCGCAGCUGCCAAGGCGAGGGUUUCAGAUCAAAGAUUCAUGGAGUUGUUUGACGUUUCUACCUUAAAGCAUAUCCCAAUGCCAUUUUCAUGCUUGAAGAGAUAAACGUGGACUAAAAUGGCUCUUGGCUUUUCUUUGUUAACUGAAGGGUAUCCCAAGGUCCUGCUUUGAAAUAAAUAGGAAAAGGUUAUGAGUUCCUGGAUGCAUUACUGUGGCAAAAGGAAUAAUUCUUUUUAUUUUUUUUUUGCCUUCUUGGGGGUAAAUAAGGAGCCAUAGAAAUUGGUAUGUCCUACACAUGCAAUGAUAAUAACUAGUCCUUUAGAUGAGUCCUGAUUUCUUCUUGAAAUUUACAGGUAGUUUGUUUCUUGUAUACACAGGAAUCAAGAUUGCUUCUCUUUU